UCUCUUAAAACAAACUUAAGCCUCUUCUAUCUUCUAAACUCACUUCCACCCUCAACAAAUUAACGUAGUCACACACGCGCACACCCCUCUUCUCUCAACAAAUUCCCCUUAUAAGCACGGUACUUUGAAAAAUGGUUCGCCAAAAUCCAGUGCAGCUAAGGCUAAGUAUUUGGAUCAAAGCAAAGCUCUGCCUUAGGCUAAGACCUCCACUUCAACACCACCACCUAAAAAGAGGAAUCACACUGAGGCUGUAUCUAGUGGCAAGGUAAAAGGGAAGUAGUCGGCCUCCACAUCAGCUCCAGCUCAGUCGCAAGAAAAGAAGUAAUAUCUCUUUGAUACCAAGCAUGUUCGACCCUACAGGAAGGCAUGAUACAAGAAGUUUCGCGCAGCCAAGUACACCCCUAAUACGGCUAUUGGUGAGAAUACUUUGUGCGAAGUAUAACAACAUAUGGGAAGUCGUGCAUAAUAUGGAGUGGGGCUUUGUGUUCAAAAAUUUGAGAGAGGAAAAUGUGAGCAUUAUUAGAGAAUUCUACACUUCUUGGCAUGUUGGUGACCCAGAGAAUUUGGUAUCCAUUCGCAGGAGGUUGAUUAUAUUUUCACUUGGUGCAUUGUGCAAAUUUCUAAACAAUCAUGAUUUCCCUAGCGUGAUAUUGUAUGAGUUCAUUGGACACCCUAUUUAUCAAGAUAUUAGAUGCACUUUAAGUGUUAUCAAUUCAAAUGUUGCGUGGAUGCAUAAGAAAAAAGGGAGAACGCAUGGUACUAUGCCAAAUGUGAAGUUUUUUGAAGGCCGUGAAAGGUGUGCUUGAAGUUGGUGAAUACAAUAAUUUUACCGUGUGAUCAUGAUACAUAUAUUUUGAGGGAGCGUGUGUGCCUUGUCUAUUUCUUGAUGAUUGGGCAGCCCGUGAAUGUGGGCUAUUUGAUGCGCGAGCAGAUGGAGUAGACAAGAGCUGGCAAGCUCUCUAGGAUGUUCUUUGGCAAUGUACUGACCCAGUACUUAGGACUUCAAAAAGUGUCUUGAGGAUCUGGAUUGUGACGUCAUUAUUCUGGCAAAACCGCGAGCUACUGACAUCACUAGUAUACAUGGGCAAAUGAGGGCGUAGCUGAUACUUUGACUUCUAUUGAGCAUCAUGCUCGGAAUGAAGCUUUAUGACUUAGUUUCAUGAGCAAUUUCUGCCCAACAUUCAUGCACAACAGUUGGUUAGCAUUGGGUUUGGCUGAGGAGUGCCUCCAGAGAAGGAAAUAAACACUCUCGAGUCAUCUGUUCAUGAGGACGCUGCUAAGGAGGAGGCGGAUGAUGCCACGAAUGAUGAGGAUGCUAUUGAUGAUGGAUUUGAGUUGGCUGAGAAGCCGGAUAGAGCGUUCUUCAUGGACGGCUCUGAGUGGCAGGGAUUUCCUUUUUACACCCUUACUAGUUUUAUUUUUAUUGUGCAUUGAGAAUACUACACUCUUUAAAUGUGAGGUAGGAAAGUUCUCUCGGGUAGAUAGUUAGUAGUAAUAUUAUUAGCUUAUUAAUUUUUGGCA